AGUUAGCUUAUGUGAUUUUGGAGGCUUGGCAAGACCAAUGCUAGCCAAGGACCCCACAGGUCGGAAGCACAGAGGAGAGUUACCGUUAAACCUCAAAGGCUGGUAGAAUUCCAUCCUCCUUCAGGAUCAAGUCGUUGACGGUUAGAUGGAGCCCACACAUUAUGAAAGGGACUUAUCUCUGUCAGAGUUGACACAUGAGAAUCCUGAAGACCCUUCAAGUCGGAAGCAUCUUGUCCCCUGUGCAUGUUGCCUGAGGAAGUUUUACUUACAGUAGAUCUUCCAACUCUGGUCCUGGCCAUUGGCAAGAGGCCACCCCAGCCUUGCCUGCUGUAAGAUCACUGUUCCUCUGUUUACUGAAUUUCCAUCUUGUGACUCAACUCAUGCAUGCCAUGAUGACUGUCGGAAGCUGUUUCUAUGUCUCCCCCGUUAUAUUCAAUUCUAUCCGGUGAGACUUGAAUAAUUUAAAUCUGUGACUAAUGAUUCUAUUUUUAUAUUACCUCUCCUGGAACAUUCUAUCCACUAAUCUCACCUAAUCAGCAGGAGACACACCUACUCUUCAUUUAAGAUUAAUGUGCACAUGUUAAAACAAAAACAAAAACAAAAGACACCAACAAACCUUUAAAUGAGUUUUCCAUCGCACUUUGGAAGGAUUACUUUGGAAGAAUUGCUUAGAGUAUCUUUUUUGGUAAAGUUUAUUUUAUUUGUAUGUAUGUACGUGCAUCUCUCACUCUGUGUGUGUGUGUGUGUGUGUGUGUGUGUGUGUGUGUGUGUGAGAGAGAGAGAGAGAGAGAGAUGCUUGCAGUGUGCUCACAGAGGCCAGAAGAGGGGAGUGGAUCCCCCUGGAGCUGAGCUACCUGAUGUGAUCAUUGGGAUCCAAACUCCUCUGCAAGAGCAGCAGGGCUCUUAACCUUUGACCCAUCUCUCCAGCCCACUGACCUUCACAAAGCAAUGGUUGGAUUUCUAAAACCUAGGUGGCAUUGUUUUUUUUUUUUUUAAAUGACCAUUUUUACUUGAACAAAAUUCAAUUUGUUUCCCUAAAAUAAGUUCUUGUGCUUACUCUUCCUCUCAUCAUGACACAGGGAAACUUCACUGUGGAAAAAUCACAGGUUUUAUUUCUCUCUUAGAAAGUCUGUGGUGAACAGCAAAA